CCUACGGGAGGCUGCAGUGGGGAAUAUUGGACAAUGCGGGGAACCCUGAUCCAGCCAUGCCGCGUGUGUGAAGAAGGCCCUCGGGUUGUAAAGCACUUUCAGUGAGGAAGAACGCCUGGUGGUUAAUACCCAUCAGGAAAGACAUCACUCACAGAAGAAGCACCGGCUAACUCCGUGCCAGCAGCCGCGGUAAUACGGAGGGUGCGAGCGUUAAUCGGAAUUACUGGGCGUAAAGCGCGCGUAGGUGGCUUGAUAAGCCGGUUGUGAAAGCCCCGGGCUCAACCUGGGAACGGCAUCCGGAACUGUCAAGCUAGAGUGCAGGAGAGGAAGGUAGAAUUCCCGGUGUAGCGGUGAAAUGCGUAGAGAUCGGGAGGAAUACCAGUGGCGAAGGCGGCCUUCUGGACUGACACUGACACUGAGGUGCGAAAGCGUGGGUAGCAAACAGGAUUAGAUACCCUAGUAGUC
rnacentral:rRNA from 1 species